rnacentral:misc_RNA from 1 species
UCGUAACAAGGUUUCCGUAGGUGAACCUGCGGAAGGAUCAUUACCGAGUGCGGGUCUUUAUGGCCCAACCUCCCACCCGUGACUAUUGUACCUUGUUGCUUCGGCGGGCCCGCCAGCGUUGCUGGCCGCCGGGGGGCGACUCGCCCCCGGGCCCGUGCCCGCCGGAGACCCCAACAUGAACCCUGUUCUGAAAGCUUGCAGUCUGAGUGUGAUUCUUUGCAAUCAGUUAAAACUUUCAACAAUGGAUCUCUUGGUUCCGGCAUCGAUGAAGAACGCAGCGAAAUGCGAUAACUAAUGUGAAUUGCAGAAUUCAGUGAAUCAUCGAGUCUUUGAACGCACAUUGCGCCCCCUGGUAUUCCGGGGGGCAUGCCUGUCCGAGCGUCAUUGCUGCCCUCAAGCCCGGCUUGUGUGUUGGGCCCUCGUCCCCCGGCUCCCGGGGGACGGGCCCGAAAGGCAGCGGCGGCACCGCGUCCGGUCCUCGAGCGUAUGGGGCUUCGUCUUCCGCUCCGUAGGCCCGGCCGGCGCCCGCCGACGCAUUUGUUUGCAACUUGUUUUUUUCCAGGUUGACCUCGGAUCAGGUAGGGAUACCCGCUGAACUUAAGCAUAUCAAUAA